rnacentral:ribozyme from 1 species
AUUGUCGUUUAAAUCUGGGAUGAUUAAGAAAGUCGCAGAAGCGAGAGCAGCUGGGGUGAACCAAGUCGUCGUGUUUCCGAAAACGCCGGAUGAUUUGAAGACGGCGUGCGGGAAGGAGGCGUUUAAUCCGCAAGGUUUGGCACAACGAUCAAUCUC